UUAUAAUAGCGUUUGAAACUUCUAGACACCUGAGGCCAUAAUGACUGUGUGUUAAAGAAAUGUUAAGCCUAAACUAAACCUGUGUGCCAGAGGCUAAAUUCUGUGCAUGAUCAUUUCUGGAACAGAAAUGUUAGGUGAAUAAGUGCUGUACCAGCUGCUUUAUGGGGAGUCUCCUUGACUACUAGAAAUAGAAUAAAGAAAGCAAGGUGGAA
rnacentral:lncRNA from 1 species